UGUUUUAAUAGCUUAGGUUUAAAGUAUAAUAUUGAAGAUAUUAGGAGGGUUUCGGCCUUAAAACAUU
rnacentral:tRNA from 2 species